rnacentral:rRNA from 1 species
UACGUAGGGUGCGAGCGUUGUCCGGAAUUAUUGGGCGUAAAGGGCUCGUAGGCGGUCUGUCACGUCGGGAGUGAAAACCCGGGGCUUAACCCCGUGCCUGCUUCCGAUACGGGCAGACUAGAGGUAUGCAGGGGAGAACGGAAUUCCUGGUGUAGCGGUGAAAUGCGCAGAUAUCAGGAGGAACACCGGUGGCGAAGGCGGGUCUCUGGGCAGUAACUGACGCUGAGGAGCGAAAGCGUGGGGAGCGAACAGG